AGAGUUUGAUCCUGGCUCAGAUUGAACGCUAGCGGGAUGCUUUACACAUGCAAGUCGAACGGCAGCACGAGAGAGCUUGCUCUCUUGGUGGCGAGUGGCGGACGGGUGAGUAAUAUAUCGGAACGUGCCCAGUAGCGGGGGAUAACUACUCGAAAGAGUGGCUAAUACCGCAUACGCCCUACGGGGGAAAGGGGGGGAUCGCAAGACCUCUCACUAUUGGAGCGGCCGAUAUCGGAUUAGCUAGUUGGUGGGGUAAAGGCUCACCAAGGCAACGAUCCGUAGCUGGUUUGAGAGGACGACCAACCACACUGGGACUGAGACACGGCCCAGACUCCUACGGGAGCAG
rnacentral:rRNA from 1 species